rnacentral:snRNA from 1 species
AUAACCAUUUUCGGCGGUACAUAUACUAAAAUUGGAACGAUACAGAGAAGAUUAGCAUGGCCCCUGCGCAAGGAUGACACGCAAAAUCGUUAGUUUU